rnacentral:rRNA from 1 species
GACGAACGCUGGCGGCGUGCUUAACACAUGCAAGUCGAACGGAAAGGCCUCUUUCGGGGGGUACUCGAGUGGCGAACGGGCGAGUAAGACGUGAGUAACCUGCCCUUGACUUUGGGAUAACUUCCGUAAAGUGGGGCAAAUAAAUGAUAGAAGACCCUGUUACAUGGAGGGGGUUGGAAUGAAUGGGCUGUUGGGGCUGGACAGGGGGCUUAACGGCUUGUUUGGGGGGUAUGGGCUUACCAAGGCUUUGCCGGGUAGCCGGCCUGGGGGGGGGACCGGCCACCUUGGGACUGAGAGAGGGCCCAGACGCCUACGGGAGGCAGCAGUGGGGAAUAUUGCCGAAUGGGGGGAAGCCUGAUGCAGCAACUCCGUGUUCGGGAGGACGGGCUUCGGGUGGUAAACCGCUUUCGCUCAUGACGAAGCAUUGUGUGACGGUAGUGGGUAAAGAAGCACCGGCUAACUACGUG